AGUGAACGCUGGCGGUAGUCCUAACACAUGCAAGUCGAACGGCAGCACAGUAAGAGCUUGCUCUUACGGGUGGCGAGUGGCGGACGGGUGAGGAAUACAUCGGAAUCUACUUUUUCGUGGGGGAUAACGUAGGGAAACUUACGCUAAUACCGCAUACGACCUACGGGUGAAAGCAGGGAAUCUUCGGACCUUGCGCGAUUGAAUGAGCCGAUGUCGGAUUAGCUAGUUGGCGGGGUAAAGGCCCACCAAGGCGACGAUCCGUAGCUGGUCUGAGAGGAUGAUCAGCCACACUGGAACUGAGACACGGUCCAGACUCCUACGGGAGGCAGCAGUGGGGAAUAUUGGACAAUGGGCGCAAGCCUGAUCCAGCCAUACCGCGUGGGUGAAGAAGGCCUUCGGGUUGUAAAGCCCUUUUGUUGGGAAAGAAAAGCAGCAGGUUAAUACCCCGCUGUUCUGACGGUACCCAAAGAAUAAGCACCGGCUAACUUCGUG
rnacentral:rRNA from 1 species